UUUCCGUAGGUGAACCUGCGGAAGGAUCAUUCAUAAUAAGUGAUUUAUGGUACUUUUUUAGAUACAUAUCCCCAUUGUGUGCAAUGUGAGGGUUGAUUUUUCUCUUGAGAGGAUCAGCCCCAAACAUCAACUAUAUCUCAACUCUUUGUCUGAAAAAUAUUAUGAAUAAAACAAUUCAAAAUACAACUUUCAACAACGGAUCUCUUGGCUCUC
rnacentral:misc_RNA from 1 species